UACUUUUUAAUUUUGAAAUAAUCGUUAAAAUUGACUAACAGAGUAGAUGAAAAAUUCUGACGUGACUUACUCAUCUGACGUGAUGACGUGGAUAAUAAUAAACUAGUUAUUGCCCAAUUACGUGGGGCCCAAUAGCUAGCAACACACUUCCCCAAAAUGGAACCCAUGUGCAGCACCAAAGUUGACUAGACCGCCUCUGUUGCACCUACCAACAUUAUUCGGCAAACUGCCAAAAUCAGCCGAAGCUGCUUGACGCCGAACCAGAAGCUAUUAGGACAACCCAGAUAAACAAACACCCUUAAUUGAUUAGUUGGAGGAGAUAGAUGCAAUCAGAGCAUGAAAUCAGAAAGGAGAUUAGAUCAUUAGACCAGCCAUAACAAAAAAUUUCAAAAAUUAGAAAUGAACCAAGCCGCCGGAAAUAGGUCGGAGAUCACCAAGAGACAACCCCAACUAAAGCCAAAUCAAUCAUACAACAACAAAAAGAAAGUAUGAAUGAUAGAACCUCCAAAUCAGCUGCAACCCAAAAUAAACAUCACGCCCCUAACAAGUUGAAAUGGAACACAGACCAAUCAGACAAACAGAUCAAAAACACCCAUGAACAAAGACACGAACGUAGGAAUAAUAGAUCAAAAACAUCCAAAUCUGAAAAUUAAAAAUUAACAGUAAAGCAUAAUUGACAAAUCGAAAUACACAUAUUCAAGCCAUCUAUUAAAACAAACCACUGGAAUCAAAUGCUCCAUAUAUUCGCCCAUAAAUUCGAAUCAAAGGCUCUCGCUCUCGCUCUCGCUCUCGCUGCUGCCUAUAUUUUUCCUUUCCCCAGUUACGCAUAAUAUUUAGAUUCCAAUUCCAAUAUAAAAAGAAAUGAAGCCACCGUAACUCAUCACCGUCCUAGACUGUUCGUCCAUCGUCUUCCUCAUCCUGCUGAAAAUUGAACUUUAAUCUUUCUUUACAGAAACAUAUAGAUAUAGAUAUAGAUAUAGAUAUAGAUAUAGAUAUAGAUUAGAGAAAAUAUUGCAGAGGGAGAGAUGAAGUUUCAAAUCGAAGAUGUUACUGUGUACUUCCCAUACGAUCACAUUUACCCAGAACAAUACUCAUACAUGGUGGAACUGAAGCGUGCCCUAGAUGCCAAAGGCCACUCUCUCCUCGAAAUGCCCACCGGCACAGGAAAAACCAUUGCCCUACUCUCUCACAUCAUCAGCUACUCCCUCUCCAAACCCUCCAAUACAACUUUGUUGCCCCGUUAUCGCCAUGUCAUCCUUUCCAUUUGACCUGUCAAAUUUUUAAACCUACUGUUUAACGGAGUGUAACAAUUUUCGAGUAGAAUUACCAAUUUAUAACUUUUUUUCACUUUGGGUACCAAAUUGUAAGUCGUGUUUCAGUACAGGUACCAAAAGUUAAUUUAUCCCCGUCUUACUUAGGUAUACUGAUGUUCACUCACAAAUCAUCACUUUCUUUGAUGUUAGUUUUUGUUACUUUGGUUAUAUGAUAUUGUAUGCCUCUGCUCUGUUUCAUGAAGAAUAUGUGGGUUUAAUGUUUUAAUAAUGUUCAUCUUAAUCUUUCCUGAUAUAAUGUAAAGGUGACAGCAAAAAAAAAAAAAAAAAAACAAAACCGAAAAGUCAUGAAAGUUAGGAAAGAAUAAAAUAUAAAACCGAGAUCAGCGAAUUAGUCCGAUCAGAAAAGUUUCACAUUCUCAAUGCUGCUAUUUUUUUCUAACAUGAUCAAGUUGAACAGGAUGUCUAUCUCCAUACAAAUUGUCUUGCAACUUUGGCAAACAGGAUGUCUAUCUCUUUUGCUUUUUCUGACAUUGUAUAUUUCUCACACAUUGAAAACUGAUAGUUUUGGUUGAGGCUUUACUUUUCUGGGAUUACAAUUUGGUCUUUGUUCGGGAGCAUUUUACCGACCUUCAUGUCGGCCGAAAGCCUGACAUUAGAAGGGCUUUAGGAGACCACUAGGCUGAAGCCCAUGGAGAGGUUGGAGCUGUUCGGGUCGGCGUCCAAGUCCUUUUGGGCCGGAGCCUCAUCUUAGUGGAUGUCUUCAGGUUCGGUGUCCGAGUCCCUCGGGCCGAAGCCUUACCUUGGCGUGUGGUGUUCGGGAUCGGGUCAUCGAGUCCUUUGGGCCGAAGCCCAGACCUGAUGGUGGGGUUGUUUGGGCCUGCACAGUGGGCUUUCCUGCGUGCAGAGUUCAGGAACCUAGCCAUACUUGAAUAAGGUAACUCCAAAGGUAGUGGUUGGAUUGGAUUCCACUUGCACCUUUUAAGGAGAUUGUGUUGGACCCAAAUUAUGGUAACUACCAUGAUUUGGAGUCCUAAUCCGACUCGGAGGAGGAUUCUAAGGUGGUGUGAGCCUUAUAAAUACAAGGCCAAGGUCACAAUUAACGGGUAAUGCCUACUUUUGAGCACUAAACACUUAGCCUCCAUUGUUAAACCUUGUAACGGCCUGUAUUUAUUCUCACACCGGAACUAUCCCGGCGACACAAGCCGUCAAGCUUCUGUGUGAUCUGUUAUUGUGCAGGUUCUAGCGCGUGGAUUCUGUGAUUGGACGUGCCGGCGAAACUUGGCGUUAACGGUCUUAUAUCUGAAUUUUUAAUGUGAUUUACAAUUCAGGUACACCAAAUUAGCAAAGCUGAAAAAUGAUAAGAUGCAUUUGAGCAAUGGUGAAUUAAAGGAUGAUGAAAGUCUUCCAGAAGACACGGUAGUCAAUGAUCUCCAUUCCUUCGUAAUCACCAUCAUCAUUAUUGUACUUAUUAUGUUGCUGCCAAUAUCAUCUAAAAAUUUGACUUGCUAAACUAGAUUAUAUUUGUCGUAGUCAUCAGAAUUGCAUAUUUAUACAGACUUCCUGAGAAUUGUUCUCGAAAUAUUGAAUGCGAUUCUGACUUACGCCUUGCCGCGGAAUCCCGAGGUAUCAUUAUUUAGUAUUGAACUGAUAAUUUAAGAUCUCAUUCAUUUUUAUCCAUAUGAAAUUAUUUUAUCCUCCUAAAAAUAUUCAUCAUUAUCUGUAUGGGGCAGGUGGUUUAUGCAAUUAUGCAUAGGCAGGAGGUUUUUCAGCCUUUCAAGAGUCAUCCACGCUUCAAUGAGCUUCUUCAGAACAUAUUUACUGUAGGUGCUAGUGCAUUUAAUUUUGAGGAUUCGUUUCAUGCGUAUUUUUUUUAUUUUACAAGUUAUCAACAUGAUGUUGCUAAAUCACUCAAUAUUGUGUCUUUAUAUAAAUACUACACUAUUGUGCAGCUGAGACUGAUGAGCCUUCUGCCUUUGUAGGUCUUAGAUUUUUUCAAUAGACGCAAUGGUGAAUUAAUGGAAGUGGAGAAAGUACUUCAAGUCAUAAUCAUCAAUUGCCGGUCAUGGCGAGGUGAAGGAAUGAAGGUAUAAACAUAUUCCAAGUUUUAAAACAUUUAUAACAUAAAUUGACAUUAAUUUCUAUUGCUUUACUAUUUUUCCCUCUUCUUUGGCAGAUGCUUACUCAGUUACGCUUUCCAUAUGAACAAGAGAGCCACCCUGAGGAGUUCUUCACUCUGUAUGUGUGGCAACUAGUUGUGUCUCGCAGGUGGUUCCUGCAUACUUUUCCCAUCUUCAAGCAAAUCACAUUUCUAACUUAGAAUGGUCUUAGAGAGCAAUCAUAUAAUUGUGACAUUUCAUCCUUACCUAGAAGCCUGUCUUUUCGUACUUGAAUGAAAUAGAUGUCCCACACUACUGAGAAAUAUAUCUUAUUUUUCUGUCUAUGAUUUCAUCAAACAUCUUUGAAUUUUAGCGCGCUGCACUUUGCAUAUUUUUAAUGUCAAUAGUAUGGUCGAGUCUCUUAGGCCUUAUUACUUGUUCAACUAUUAAAACCAUUCUAGCUUUUAGUAAGUAAAUGGUCAUCGACUGUUAUUUACUUGUAUUAUCAAUAAAUCAAUUAUGAGAUCGGUCUUGUUACUGAUUUCUUUGUUUCGUGGUACGUCUUUCUGUAGUGGUUUCAGUUUUAACCCCAAGAACAUAAAUCUAUUACCAGUUGACAUUCCUGUGGAAGUAAGUAGUUCUACUUCUGUUUCUCUACAUAUUUCAGUUCUUGAUUCAAAAUGAUUUCUUUUUGGCAUGCUCUGUAGAUUCUUAAUUUCCCUAAAGCAACAUUUGAGAAUUCAAAAAAUGGUCUUUGAAAUGGAGCCAGUAAGUUCAAAUACUCUUUAUACCUUAUUGUCCUUUUAACUAUUAAUACAGAAUUGCCUAUAAUUAGAAUUUUUCUGCUGUGUAUGGUGGUUAAUUUUUCUGACAAUAAUUCUUUGAAGUAGACAUCUUUUGGCAGUCUUAUGUAAUAUAUAGCUAAUGAACUAAAAUUAAUUAUGGCUUGAAGUAGGAUGCCAACAGGUAAAAAUUUAUACGUCACAGUGUGUAAAUUCAUACGUCACAGUGUGUUUAUAUGGACCGAUAUAAACGCGCACAACCAGCAGCACUCAGCAGCACACUGCAGCAACCAAGCUCAUGCAGCAGCUGCCGAGCCAGACAAAAUGCAGCAGUAGCUGCCCAGAAGACAGCAAAAGCCCAUAUAGCUGCAGCAGCACAUGAGCCCCAAAGAUGGACCCAGAAGCAGCUGCUGCAGACCCCACUUAGCAGACCACAGUCCCAACAAAGCAUAAACCUGUUAUAGCACCAUUCCAGAAGCAACCCAGCAACAUGAAAAGGAAACGGGAUAGCAAGGCUGUAACCCAAAAUUGACCAGCAGUUAUAAGGAUUGUAGCCGCAUCAGACUAGCAGUAGCAGUCUAUUUACCCCAGAAUUGACCAGCAGUAGCAGUCACAAGGAACAAACAGCAGUAGCAGCAACACGGAGCAGCUAGCAAUAGCAACACAGAAGAAACCGAGCCCAUAGCAGCCACCCAAAGCAGGCAGCCACCCAUAGCAUCUGCCCGAAAUUGACCAGCUUUAGUCAUAAUUUAAAUGAGCCAGUUACAGAAGGGUGGUAGUGAUAUGUUGGAUGGGGGAGGCGAAUGAAGUUAUAAAAUUAAUUAUAAGACUAACUGAAUACAAAAUAUGGUCUUAUGACUAGUUGUAAAGGAUAAAAUGUAAAUGUGACCACUGAACUUUAGGGGUUUUUGGGUAUUGAAGGUCAACGCAUUUUGAGCUCUUUUCUAUUAAAAAAUUUGGACUUCGAGCCCCUGUUGUCAGAUAUGCGUUGUUGUCAGAUAUGCGUUGACUUGUUCACGUGGCGCCUACGUGGCACACGUGGCAUAUCUCAAAUUUGAUCUCUAGACCUCCAACUUGAAACUUCAACCCAAUGACCAUCCGAGAGUACCACGGGUUAGCUGUUUUGUUUUUGCAAGGAUUAUGAUUUAUAACUGAACAAAGAAUUUUUCCCAAAUUAAAACAAAACAAAACCCCUUUUCUGAAGAUUAAUCAAAGUCAACCAAGAACCAAAAACCAUUUUGUAAACAAAAAAAAAACAGAACAGUGUCCAUGAAAGACAAAUUACACUUCAGGACUGAAAUCAAAAGCUUCAUUGAACUUUCUCCCAAGAACCUCAAUAAAAUUUCACUAGUACAUAAUUUAAAGUAAUGACGAGAUGACAUGAAAAUUUUAAGAUGCAAGCCAAUAGGUAUAACGUAAUUAUCUACUCUUUUAGCAGUUUACACCAUUCAAAAAUCACGAGCUCCCACAUGAACAUAGCUCCAGAAAAAGAUCAAGAAUAAAAUAUCAGAACAAUGAUAACAAUAUUACUUCACAAGAAAAUGUACCAGUACACUACAGAACACAAGCUUACUUGCUUAAACUCGCCUUUCUAUCCCCCUAAUAUUCUAUUACCACAAGGGAAAAAAAUGCGCCAAAAGAAAGUCAAGAGAAUCCCUCGAUAAAAUUUCAAACAGCUCUAUUUGAAGGGAUCAAAAGCUGUUCACCAUAAAACUAAAAUCUUUGUUUUCUUCUUUUGUUUUGCUGGUUGGUCGCCGACAACUUAAUCACUACAAUGAUGAGAAAAGAAAACUAAAAUCUCUCACUAAUAAUUUCUAUCAUAGGUUCCUCAAGCAGAAGCAGGUACCCGUGGUGCCAUAUUUUUGACAGUUCCACUACCAGUCAUCCCACCAACACGGUUCACUCGGCCACCAUUGGUGCCUCCACUCUCAGGCCUCUGAUAUCCAUCACCACCACGGUUUGAUAAACCUCCUCGAUUGUUGCCUCUGUUACUAAAAUCAGUCCUGCCAUUGAAUUCUCCUCGGCCGAACCCUCUGCUGCUACCCACAUAGAACCCACGUCCUCUCAUUCAAUCGUUCCUGAAUCCAACCUCGUUCCUGAACCCAGCCCCUCUUCCAGCUGGGAACCUUCCCCGAUUGUUCCCUGCAUUAAUUUGGGGGUUUAUUUGGGUAAAUCACCUGAGACAACAUAUCUAAGAAAAGGGGUUUUGUUUUAAUUUGGGAGAAUUCUUUGUUCACUUAUAAAUCAUAAUCCUUGAGAAAAUAAAACAGUUAACUCUUGGUGCUCGUAUGGUCAUUGGAUUGAAGUUUCAAGUCACACGUCUAGAGAUAGCAACAAAUUUUUUGAUUGAAGUCUAAUAACAGCCAUGUCAUAUAUGCCACAUGUAAAAUAAAAAAUAAAAAUAAUCACGUCAGAUAUGCCACGUAGGCGCCACGUGAGCCAUAUUUGACAUAUGCCACGUAGGCGCCACGUGAGCAAGUCAACGCAUACGUAGGCGCCACGUGAGCAAGUCAACGUAUAUUUGGCAACAGGGGCUCGAAAUCCAAUUUUUUUAAUAGAAAAUGGUUCAAAAUGCGUUGACCAAAAGAAAAUGGCUCAAUACCCAAAAACUUCUAAAGUUCAGUGGUCACAUUUGCAUUUUACCCCUAGUUGUAAUAUCCGGAAAAUUUUUAAAUAAAAUAAAAUAAUAAUAAUAAGAUAAUAAAAAUAAAAUCUAUAUAAUAAAACAGAGCGGCUUCAACAAAGAACGGUCUCGAUUAAAACUUUAUCAUCUAAUGGCUCAGAUUUAAUCUAUUGGCUCUAAUGGCUCUGAUUUCAUUUCAGCCAAACAAAAAACAAAAAGCACGCCCAAUUCAAAAAUACCCUAAACUCUCCCGCACCUUUGCCCCCUUCUCAUUCCGCCUUCUCCUUAUCCCGUCGGGCAUUUCCUACAUAUUUGUCUCCUUUUUAUGUUUACAUCCAAUACAAAUAUUUCCCCCAAAAUCAAGUCUUCUUCGUCUUCCUGAAAGCAGGGCGGCGGCAGCAGAAACAGCAAGCAGCAAGGUUCUUUUCCCUAUGCACUUUCACUUUAAUUUUUUUCAGAGCUAUAGAGUUGAAUCAGAGAAAUUUGGGAUUUGGGUUUGAGUUUUUUUAAAAUGGGUCAAUUUUAUUUUGAGAGAACAUAAGAGGGUCAAUUAUACCCACAUUGGCCAUCCUCUACUAACACUUUGAUUAUCUCUCAAUCUUAUCAUCCCCGUACCUGUGGAAUAAGAAAACCCAUCAUUUUUUUAGAGAAAAUUGUAGCACCAUUUUUCUCGCAUUGCUUAAUUUGAGCUUUUUAGUGGUGUUCUGAGCUUUAAAUAAGCUUUAUUUGUACCGGAUUUCUGUAAACUUAACGAUUUGAAGAAGGUUUUGAGCAUUGUUGAGUUUUGAAGAGCUUUAUUUGUUCUAGGUUUUUGAAAUCUUGAAGAUCUGAAGAAUUUUUGAGCAUUAUUGAGCAGUCAAAUCGAUGGGGAAGCGCAGAAAAUCGAGGGGAUUGUUUGGUUGGUUUAUUGUCAGAUUUCCAAAACCCUAACAUUUGCUUUUUGUUUUUUGUUUUCCUCUUUUAUUGCAGUUGAUGAGCCACUCAAGAUCACAUUUGAGGUAUUUAUAUGUGUAUAAACUUUUAUGCUUGAUGUUGGUUUCUGAUCUGAACAUAAAAUUUCUUUUUUAGCUGAUUGAUCUGUUCUUUUACUUUUGGAAUUGGACUGCAUAAAGUGUUAAUGCGAAGUACUCUUUUGUGUGUAAAACUGUUAACUUUUGGAUCUGAUUGAUCUGUUUCCAUGUUUUGUGUUUGCUCUUUAGUGACAUUUCUCUGAACAUGAUGAUGUUCUAAUGUAUAGGUAAUAAUCCAUUCAUAUCAUAAAAUCAUUCUCAUUGUGUCAUUUUUAUACUGAUAGGAAUAUAAAAAAUGACUUAUUUAGUGAACAAAUUUGUUUUGUUUUGUUUUUAAUGAGAUUUUAGUGGAAGAGAGGGAGUACAAUAUUCUGGAAAAUUAAAAAAAAAAUAACAUAACUUUUAAAUACCUUCAAAACACUACUUUUGAAUACCUUCAAGUGUGGUUGGAAAAAAAAACUCAACUUUUGAAUAUAUUCAGUUUGGAUGAAAAGAGAAGUUUGUAUCUCUUUGCUUGGGAUUUUCAUCAAACAACAUCUUUCCUCACAGUAACUGAAAACAAACUCCACUUUCCAUUACAUUUAAUUUCUCUUGCUACAACUCAAAAUAAAUAUGCAAGAAAAUCAUCAUAAACUUUGGACCAUAAUAAAGUGUUAUAAUUCAUGUAUGAAGGGGAUGUUAUGAUUGUUGUGUGGAGUAAUAAGGGUACUAAAAUCUGGGCUAAACCAUAACCAAAUACUUAUGAGUUCUGUCCUAAAAAUAAAUGCACAUGUUAUGUUAGAUAAAUUACCUCUAAGAGGCUAUUAAGUAUAAAAAGGGAGAGUUGGUCAAGAAGUCUUCAUAUAUGUUAGAUGAUGUACAUGGAGUAAUUUAUGUAACCUGUUAUAGACUGUUUUACAUUACAACAUGUAGGAUUUUAUAGUUCAUGGGUAUAAACAAAAUACUGCAAUUUUUGCUUUGUAAGAAUACUGCUCUCAAUGAUUUUUGUAUCAAAUAAGAGAUAACUGCAUUUUGCUUUGUAAGAACUGCAUUGUUUUCGUUAUAGGUAUUGUUCUAGCCGUAGACAAAUCAAUGGUGCUACUUUUACUCUUCGAUAUGCUUCUUGUGUUUGUUGUGACUUUUGUUUUGAUGUUCUUGUUAAGUAUUGGUCCAUAUUACUGAAACUGCUUCAGUAAUAUGGACCAAUACAGCUUGGACAUGUACAACUUCAUAUAUAAUUAUAAUUGUAUGGGUUAAAAAAGAAAGCAAAAUGUUAUGUCUUUUCCUCUAAAUGUUUGGUUGGCUGGGUGGUGUGUAAAUUGUCCAAAUUCCAUAAGCUUUGUAGCUCUUUUAUGCUUGUAUAUAUUAUUGGUCCCAAAUUAAUGAUUUUCUCUAAUUAUUGACGCCCAACACAUUUGUUGAUUGUAAACUUUUUUUCUUUGGUUUACAUCAGGACCAUGCCCAAAGAUUCAUGAUCAGAAGUUGAAAGAAAGGUAAUGAAUGAGUAUAAUUUGGAAUUUACAGGCAUGGGACUGUUUUAUGGUAUUUCAUAAUUUAUGUUGCUAAGGCAUUUCAAUAUUCUUUAGAUUCUACUAGAAGAGCUUCUUGCCUUCUAUAAUGUUCAUUAUAUUUUUUCAUUUGAGUUUGUUGUAUGUAUAAUAAUAACUGUGAGAUGUUGCCUUUGAUUAUUUGAUCAUGUUGGAUGUCUAACUAUUAAAAUACUUUGAUCAUAAAUACAUUUUUUGUUUUUGUUGUUCCCCUUCUGUUGUUCUUUUGAGUAAAUUACCUACUUUGGAAAUGAAUUGUAGGGUGGAAUUUAAAUAUGAGUAACAUGCGUAGUAUGCUAAUAAGAUUUUGGAGUUCUGGUUGUUGUAGGUUUUUUGUCCUUGAGGUAACCAAUCUAUAGCUUUUUAAUCAGAUUCUUGUGAGGAAGAGAAAUACAAGUCAAUUAUCCAAAUAAAUGGUGUUUAUAAAUAGGCUCUUCCCACAUCCCGUACUUAAUAUCGUUAUCUUCUGUACUUUGCUUACAAGUACUUAAUAUCAUUAUCAUAGCAAAAAUGUUCAAAGUAGAUGUUUUACAUAUAGUAAAUGUGUUUCCCUUCUUAUUCUUGCAUAUAGUAAAUAGAGUGAUGUUCUCCUUUGGCUUUCUUGUAAUUAACGUUAGUAAUGUUAUAUGUUUGCAAAUAAUGAUGUUAUAGUAUUAGUGUUGUUAUAUAAGUCUAAAGAUAAUGUUAUUAUUACUAUAUUACAAAUUAUUUGCAUUCAUGCUUUUGGGUCAUGAAAGUGUUCUAGCUUUUUAUUGAGGCAAAUUUUGUUACUGCUGCAGAGUUUCUUGGUUGUGUAUGCGCUGAUGUCUUUAGAAUCGGAAAUGGCACAAGUUAUAACUAAAUGAAGGUAUGGUUCUGAAAGUAUAAUCUAGAUCAUUGUUAACAUUCAGGUAAAUAUUAAGUUUCUUUAUUACUGUUAUGAAUAAUAAUGAUAAAAACUAUAGCGUUAUUGUUCUCCACUGUUGUCUUUUUUUUUUUGCUAAAUUGAAUCACAUUUCCUUUCAUUUUACUUUUCAACUAUUCAUGAUCUUGUGGAGGCGGCCAAACUUUUAACGAUUCAAAGGGAACUGGAUGAAACAAAAAUUAUACUUGUAAGUCUUUAGGUUUCCAGUUGGUCGUAUGCUCAUUUGUUCUAUCUGCUUCGAAGAAAUAGGUUUACUUUCCCUAAAGCAAACAUUAAGCAUAUUAUAUAUGAUACUGCUUGAAGGUAACAUGAAGUCAUUUUUGAUGUUUGAUAAGCAAACAUUAAGCAUAUUAUAUACGAUAAGCAAUAAACCUACUUAACAAACCUUAAUAAGCCAACAUGAUGUUUGAUGUUUUACAAUACUGCAUUUAUAUAUCAAACAUUUAUAUAAUACAAACAUUUAUAUCUUGGAGAAAUACUGCAUUUAUAUAUGAGUUUUGUUAUGUAAUACUGCAUUUUGGUAGACAGUCUACUAUACAAAUUGCUUCAUUUGAAGGUACUGUAUUAUUUAUAAUUUUAAAUACAUUUAUAAUUUUAAUUGAUUUGAGUUGUCCAAAAUUUUAAAUUUAGUUUACCGCUCUUCCUUAUAUUUUUCUAGGAAAUUUUAAAAAAGAUACACCACAUCAUU
rnacentral:lncRNA from 1 species